GAACCAUUCCUGCGUCCUGUUCCUCAUGACCUCUCUUACGGAUCUCUUGUCAUCUUGGCUCAACUGCAGGUCUUCAUUUGUUACGAAGGUGAGAAAUGGCGCGCGAAAUAUUGUGAAUUCUUGAAGUCUCGGAGGAAGGGUGUGUAAUGCUUCAAGUCUAGUAAUAUGCCAAAGCUCGAGUGAUCUGCAAUAAGGGUAAAGCUGGUCCAUAGGUGGGAGCUCUUCAAGCAUUCCACACCUCCUCAGCGCAAGUUCUUGAAUGUUGGAUGUUUGAUUUUCGGGCCACGACGGUCCUCGAUACCCGUCUAGAUGAAGGCUGGUGAGAUUGGGAGGCAAUUGGAGACCCUCAAGAAUUUCAGCAUCCAAAUUAGAAUUUACAUUGUCCUCGCUGUCGCGCCAUACCAACUGGAGCGAAUCAAGAUGCUUCUUUUCUUUCAAAUCGGCGGCAAUGGCGCUCUCCUUCCUCUCAACAUUCUCAAGAUUAUCAAUGUGCAGGUGUCCUCGAAGUUCGUUCAAGUUCUUUAGUUGCUCCAGCUCAUAUCCUUUUUCCUUUCUCACCUGAAAAUUCUCUAGGCCUUGCAAGGAAGUUAACUUGCCGAUCUCGGCUAUGCCAGAAGGCCGUAGAUACCGCAAGCCGACCAAGUCGGUAAGGCGUGCAGGAAGCGAGCUAGCAUUUUCUACUUCCAACACCUGUAGCUGAUACAGAGUGCACACCAACUCCGGCAACACGAACUCGCUAGUGCCUCCUGAAACUUGCAGGAUGCGAAGGUGCUUCAUUUCGCUUAUAAACUUUGCCAAAUUUUCUAAAUUUAAUCCCAAAACCAGCAGCACGCGCAACUUUUUUAAGCUCUUGAAGAUGUCGCUCGCAACAUUUUCGUCUGAGACGACGCUUUCUCCUUUCACGACGAUUAGGGUGCGAAGUUUCUUCAGUUUGCAAAUUUCCUCCUUCUUCUCAUUCAGUUUGUCAGCCGGUAUGCACAGAUGGCGAAUAGUCGACGGGAUCUCGCUCUGACGAUUACCUUCUAUUCUAACACAAUCACUGCGAGUAACCUUUACCGCUAGAUCAUACAGCAAUUCAUGCAACGUGUAGUAGAAGACAGGCUUACCUGUUCCAGAGGAGCGGCGGAAUCUGUUAUGACGCUGAAUGUAGAAUCUGNCCUCAUUUUGUCUGCUGUAAAUUAAUUCCGUUUUUCGCUCAUGCGUCUCCAACCAUCUCCCCCACACAGCAGCAAUAUCCGCAUCGGCGGCAGGCACACUGUUGUUAUGCUCUCGGCUAUUCACCACGGCUAUGAAAUUCCUCAUUUCUCUUUCGUUGUGCACUAAGUCUUCUUUAUAUUGGUGUUGGAACCAUUCCUGCGUCCUGUUCCUCAUGACCUCUCUUAUGGAUCUCUUGUCAUCUUGGCUCAACUGCAGGUCUUCAUUUGUUACGAAGGUGAGAAAUGGUGUGCGAAAUAUUGCGAUGUUUCGAAGCCUCGGAGGAAGGGUGUGUACUGCUUUAAGCCUAGUAAUAUGCCGAAGCUCAAGUGAUCUGCAAUAAGGGUAAAGCUGGUCCAUAGGUGGGAGCUCUUCGAGCAUUCCACACCUCCUCAGCGCAAGUUCUUGAAUGUUGGAUGUUUGAUUUUCGGGCCAAGACGGCCACGACUGUCCUCGAUACCCAUCUAGAUGAAGGCUGGUAAGAUUGGGAGGCAAUUGGAGACCCUCAAGAAUUUCAGCUUCCAAAUUAGAAUUUACAUUGUCCUCACCGUUGCACCAUACCAACUGGAGCAUAUCAAGAUGCUUCUUUUCUUUCAAAUCGGCGGCAAUGGCGCUCUCCUUGCUCUCAACAUUCUCAAGAUUAUCAAUGCGCAGGCGUCCUCGAAGUUCGUUCAAGCUCUUUAGUUGCUCCAGCUCAUAUCCUUUUUCCUUUCUCACCUGAAAAUUCUCUAGGCCUUGCAAGGAAGUUAACUUGCCGAUCUCGGCUAUGCCAGAAGGCCGUAGAUACCGCAAGCCGACCAAGUCAGUAAGGCGUGCAGGAAGCGAGCUAGCAUUUUCUACUUCCAACACCUGCAGCUGAUACAGAGUGGACACCAACUCCGGCAACACGAACUCGCUAGUACCUCCUGAAACUUGUAGGAUGCGAAGGUGCUUCAUUUCACUUAUAAACUUCGCCAAAUUUUCUAAAUUUAAUCCCAAAACCAGCAGCACGCGCAACUUUUUUAAGCUCUUGAAGGUGUCGGUGGUCGCAACAUUUUCGUCUGAGACGACGCUUUCUCCUUCCGUGACGAUUAGGGUGCGAAGUUUCUUCAGUUUGCAAAUUUCCUCCUUCUUCUCAUUCAGUUUGUCAGCCGGUAUGCACAGAUGGCGAAUAGUCGACGGGAUCUCGCUCUGACGAUUACCUUCUAUUCUAACACAAUCACUGCGAGUAACCUUUUCUGCUAGAUCAUACAGCAAUUCAUGCAACGUGUAGUAGAAGACAGGCUUACCUGUCCCAGAGGAGCGGCGGAAUCUGUUAUGACGCUGAAUGUAGAAUCUGGACACCAAAUCAUUCAGGUAACCGUCGCCUGCAUCCUCCACCCUCUCAUUCGGAUCGCCCGGCUUGAUAAAACCUUGCGCCAUCCAGAGCUGAACCAGUUCUAAAGCUUUGAACUUGUAGCCUCUAGGAUACAGGCGACAGUACGAGAAGCAACGCUGAAGAUGUGCCGGCAAAUGCCGAAAACUCCACAUCAGCGCUUUGGUUUUGUCGCCGGACCAGUCCUUGUCUGCGAUCGUUUCCAAAUAUGCAUGCAAAUUACCUUGCGAACGAAAGAGAUCGGCCAGCUUCGUAGCGAUCGUCUUGCCAACCAUCUUGGCCGCCGUAGGGUCCUUGUUCAACUUCGCAGCGAUUGUCUUGCAUUUCUCUUUUAAAUCUUCUCUUAAGUGAGAAUCGAAUUCCCCGCUAGGCAAUGCGUAUUGAAUGAAAAGAUCCGCAAAGUCAUUCUCUGCUAAAUCUUCCAAAUGACAAAUGUAUUCUACAACAGCAGCACCAUUAGCAGCAACAAUCUUUCUCGGCGCAUCGUCCGUUUGAGACGUAACUAAAAUCUUGCUCCCCGGCAAACAACAACAUUUGCUUAAACAUCUGAAUAGCAUAUCCCAAUUAUUUUCAUGGUCUUCUCCGUCGCACCAAACAUCAUCUAUCACGAGCAGGAACUUCUUCGCGUUCAGCUUUUUGUUCAUUUUCAGCUGUAGUGCUUCAGGCGUGUUGAGGUUGCCCACGACCAUCGUGUCGAGGUUAGAAAGAUGGGUAUGGAACGUUGCGGCGAUAUCAUCAGGGUUACCAAGAUCUUCUUGAGGCUCGCUUGCGAUAGAAGCUUGUUGUAUGAUGUCUUUCAUAAUUUCGGAUGCGUUGAAGUUGCAAGAUGCGUGGACCCACAUGAUGGGAUGAAAAUGUUGUCUGUCACCUAACUCGCUCCCCAGCUGCUCGCAAACGUACUGUGCGAGAGUAGUCUUCCCGACCCCCGGGCGACCGACUAUGGCAAUUAUAGGUACGCCUGCUGCAGGUUCUAUCUUCAAACGCCGAAUGAUUUCGUCACGAUCUUCAUCGCGGCCGAACACUUUCGGCGGAGGCAGCGAGAUGGUCUGCUUGCUAUCAGGCGCUGCUGCCGUCUGAUCGGGCUGGGCGCCUAACAAGGUGCGGAGUUUCUCGGCUUCGCCGGCGAUCUUUUCAAGCUUGUUCAGCCUUCGCUUCAGCUUGAUCUUUUGAGGCGACAGCAUGUCCCGGCCGCCUUUUAUCACCCAUUUCACAGGUUUUGGUAUGUGAAAAAAGGAAGAAGAAGAACGCACCGGAUUAGUCGGCCUCUUACCACUGCUUGCUGCCGCCGCCGCCGCCUUGCGUCUGAGGCGGUUGUAGUUGAGGAGGUCCAGCGAGUCCUCCGCGCCGUCGUAAGCGUCUUUCAGCCUCUGCAGCCAGCCCUCCACGUCGCUCCGGUGCGGGCUGCCUUCCGCUUUCUCGAUCACCGAUUUCAGCACCGGGAGGACGGUGGCCCUCAGCUUCUGCAGCUUCUUCUCCGCGUUGAUGCCUAAGCUGGCGAAGCCUUCGGCGAGCAGCUUCGCCACGAGGGGAGACGCCACCCAUCCCAGCGCCGCUAAUCCGAUCGCUUCUACUCCCGACAUUCUCGCGCCAGCAAGCUCAGAACAGACAGCUAGCUAGGUAGCUGCCGGCUGAGAAUUAACGGCACCAAACAAGCGUGGUGGAAGGCCGCGCCACAACAUGCUGCGCCAACUACCCUGGAACAAUGUCAUGAAUAACAAUUUGUUCACUCAAGAGGAGACGGUUGACCAUUUAUUCGUUCGCUGUGUUUUCUCAAGAUUUCUAAUGAUGAUGAGCUUUGAGAUCGACCGGCUGGGGGAUAGUGGGGAUGACGUGACCACGGUCUGGGACCGCUGGAUGACGAGGACGAGAUCACAGCAGCCAUGUACUACAAUAUCCGGAUUAAUACCUGCUGGUGGAUUGUCUAGAAGGUUAGAAAUGAUGUGAUAUUAAAGUAGAUUCAACCGGACCACCUCCAAGCUGGCCACGAGACUAAACAGUUAAAUAAAGUGUUGGGAUCAAGUUCUGUCUUGACCGAUUGUAGUGGGUAAUAAUUGACGAACCUCUUUUCUUUUCUUUUCUUUUUUUUUUUCGUCCCUUCUGAGGCCGUCGUUGUCUCACUCAUGUAGCUAAAUGUAUCAUUUCAAUAAAUGAAGCGGAUAGCGCGCUACCUAUUUCUCAAAAAAAAAAAAAAAAUUAUUUUUUUUUUUUUUUUUUUUUUUUGAGCAAUGCUCUUUGUAUGUGUCAGAAAGGGUGGUGUAUAUAUAUAUUGUGCACAUCUCAAUCCAGAGGUUUUGUCUUGUCAAUUUAUUUUUUAAAAUAUUAAAAAUUUAAAAAAUUUUGUGAAUCUUAUUUGAAAUGAUGAAAUAUAAAUCAUACAUCUUUCUUAAAGUGUACAUCUUACUAUAUGUACUCCCAAAAUAGACGUGUAAAUUUCAAUUACAGCUAAACCAUGCACCUAUAUCCAAGGAUCGAAAUAAUUUUUAUGAAAUUUUAGUAUUAAAAAAAUAAAAUUGUUAUAAAACUAGUGCGAUUAAAUUGAUCCGACCCUUGGAUGCAUUGGUCUUAUUACAUGAGACAAACAUAUAUACCAGGCAUCUAUUAGCAUGGACAAGAAGAGGUGCAACUUGCCAUUGUUUAGAACCUACUCAUGCAACUUGUCAUGCAUUGUUUAUAAUCUACUCAACUACCGUAAAAUAAUAAUGAUAUAAUAUAUAAAUAAGGGCGAUUUGCAUGGUCCUCAAACUAUGAGGCAUGUGACGCUUCGGUCCUCGAACUGUGCAUAUUGUUGAUGUAAAAGUAAUAUAAUGUCGUAAUUAUUGGCGCAUCAUUAGUCGUAAUACUGCUAUAUUACUUCUAUAUUAACAAUACGCAAAUUUUUAGUCAACCAAAUUAAGUUAUAAAUAAAGAAGAUGCAUUUUGAGUACAGGUGGUACUGGACAAGCUAACGGAAGGAUUCAAUUGCAAUAAUUCUAAAAGCUCGAAUAAGAAAUUAUAAUAAAUUAGAGUAUGAUGACCAAAACGUCACUCGACUUAUAGUUUGAGAACCAAACAUGCUAUUUACCCUGAUAAUAAUAUAAUAUAUAAUAAUUGACACAAUUAGGCCCUGGCCCUUAUCUCUCUCUAUAUGUACAUAUAACCUUUUCUUAUAAUUAAGAUAAAAUGUAUUGGCACAAGUCCGACAAAUAAUAUCAAUACUAAUCUAUACUUUCUUAUUGACUAGAGUCAGUGAACAUUGACAGUAAAUACUACCUUCUCUAGAUAGCAACUCUCUCAGAACUUUGUUCUGAAACCUGCUGGGUUAAGGCUUCUACUAAAUAUUGUUAGUGACCCAAAAUGUGUUUGGUUAAUGGGAUCAAAUCCAACCAAAAAUUAAGUUCAAGUUAAUAGUUGGAUAAACUUCUUUUAUUAUGUAUAUAUAUGUUAUAUAUAUAUAGCUUUCUAAUUUGUGUCUAAUAUCAGAUCUGUCUUAAACAGAAUCCACAUGGAUGAAUGUACCCCGUGAAUGAUUAUAACUCCAUGCGUGUGGGUAAUAUCUUGGGCUCAAACUGCUUUAUUUUGAGACAAGUCUCGUAUAAUCUUCGUGCUGAGUUACCCUGAUUAUAACUUAAUUUCUGUUCGUAAAUUAUGAGGAAUGCAUCAUUCAUCGGCAACAUAUGAGGCCCGUUUAAUCUGAUCAUGUUCACACCGUAAAUUGUAACCAAAAGCACAAGAGGUACUACAACAACAAAUUUUUUUUUUUAAUUUUUUUUUUUGAGAGAUAGGUAGCACGCUACCCGCUUCGUUUAUUUUAUUUAGAAAUAAACUUAGCUGCAAAUGUAAAUCAACUAGGAUUCAAACUUGGGUCUUGGAUACCAACCACCAAGCCUUUGCCACUUACUCUAGGAACGGUUGGUUACAACAUCAAAAUUAAAACACUCAAAUUCACAUACAAACACAACAUAAAUUUCAGGUUUACAGGGUCUUUAGUGUAAAAUUUCAGGUUUACAGGGUCUUUAGUUUACACCGUACUAAACAUAAUACGUUAAGAGAGAAAAGUAUGAAAACAUAUUAUAUUUUAAGACCACAAUGCACACCAUGCACAAAAUUAACCGAACCAAGUCUUCGACAACACCGACCGUCCCUAGAGCAAGUAGCAAAAGGUUUCAUGGUUGGUAUCCGAGGUUCCAAGUUCGAAUUCUAGUUGAUUCAUAUUUCCAGCUAACUUUAUUUCUCGAUGAAAUAAAAGAAGCGAGUAGCAUGCUACCUAUCUCUCAAAAAAAAAUGUCUUCGACAACAAAAUUAAAACACUCGCAUACUAAUAUGUUAAUAAUUCUAGGUCUACAGAGUCUUCUGCGCUGUACAAAACAUAAUACAUUUUAAACAAAAAAAAAGUGAAAUAUAAUACAUUUUAUGACCACAAUGCAAACCAUGCACACUCUUUUUUUUUUGCUUUUUUUCUUUUUUUUGGCUUUUUUUUUUUUUUUUUUUUUUUUUUUUUUUUUNAGAUGCCUGCAAAAAGAUUGCGAAACCAAUACAGAAUGAGAACACUAAAAAAUAAGCACAAUGAAAAUAAAGUGAUACAUAACGUUCAAAUAGAUUAGAAGGAUGCAAUUUGAAUUGCAAGAUCAUGAAUCUUAUCCUUUAAAUUAUGGGAUUUAUAGAAAAUUACAGCAAAAAAACUGAUAUAAAAUACUUUUUUACCACACUUUUGAAUCUGCAGGAAUUAAAAGUAAGGGAAGUAAUACAUCUGAAUCAUGUUGAUUUAGCAAUUAAGAUUCGAAAAGGACAAUGAUUAGAGAAUAGGACUGUAGGAUUGUAUCAUAACACCGAUAAGAUAAACCCCAAUCCUAGAACCAAAUUAUACUCAAGCACUUUAAUAAUGAUUCUACAUUUGAUGGCAUGAAAGAAAAAAAUUUGAAAGAGUAAUUCACAUAGAAGUGCAUGAUGAGUACAGAAGUGAAUGCAUCCACAUACUGCAGGGAUAAAUAAUAUUAUUAUCUUCAAUAGAUACAUAGAUGAGUGAUUAUAAAGUAUUUCAAUCUAAAACUAGGUCAGUUACAUCGUUUUUAAUUCUAAUCUCAAAACACAUAGGCAAGGUGUAGAAAAGUUUGAAGUACUUCAAGAUCUUCGCUGAUUCAUCAAGAGACUGAUUAACUUAUGCACUUUUAAUGAGUAAAAAAGAAUAAGAAGAUCAGGAAUUCAAAGUUUGCCAAUUUGUAAGAACGGGAAGGCGAUACGUACCUUUUUUCCACAUUACAGAGCAUGUUCGAAGCUAUCUUCUACAGGGAUGCCGUUGAGCAUACGCCUGCCCGUAAGGGGGUCAAUUUCUAUGGAUUCCUCUAAAAUCGGACAUCCGUGUAUUACUAAACUCUUGAGUGACCUGGGCAAAUUCAUCACUGCCUCCAGAUUCGAGCAGUUCUGCAGAAUGAGAUUUUCUAGAGAGUGCAGUUCCUUCAAAUCCACCGAGAAUGAGACGCCAGAACAAUCCAGGAUACUCAAGGAGUGGAGAGAUCGGAGGUUGCGAAACUGUAACGAUGCCGCUCGCGUACGACAUUGAGUAAUCGUAAGACGAGAUAGAUGUGGCAAAUUCGCAUUGGCUAGGAUUGCAUCUACAUCUGCACAAGACUCAAAACGGAUAUACCGCAACGAGGACGGCAGCACAGCAGUUUCAAUGUCCAAGCAGGGGCAUCUGAUUAGAAGGAGAUUUACGAGACGGGGGAGGGAUCUUAUACCACCCAGCGAAGUGAGAGCCCAGCAGUUGGUCAGACCUAAAGUUUGGAGUGAUUUUAGGUUGGCAAGGACGUCCGCAGACGGUAGACGGGUUAUCAUUUUGAGAUCUGCUAACAACAGCCGCAUAAGGGAGGGGAGGUUUUGUUGUAGGCAUACCGAGAAUGCGUGGUUGGUAAUGUUGCAUCCCUUCAGCCGGAGCCUAGUAAUGGUGGAGGGCAGAAGCAAUUUGGCCUCAUUUGGUCUGCUGUAAAUCAACUCCGUUUUUCGCUCGUGCAUCUCCAACCAUCUCUCCUGGACAGCUGUAAUAUCUGCAUCCGUGGCAGGCACACUCUUAUUAUGCCCUCGAGAGCUAGCUUCAUCACUGUCGGAGCCAUUCGUUGGGGCUAUGAGAUUCCUCAUUUCUCUUUCACUGUCGUCUAAAGACUGUUGAAAAUAUUUGUGUGGGAACCAUUUCGGCAUCCUUUCCCUCAUGACCUUUAUUAUGGAUCUUUUGUCGGCUGGGCUCAUCUGUAGGUCUUCCUUUGUUACAAAGGUGAGAAAUGGCGCACGAAUUAUUGUGAAUUCUUGAAGUCUCGGAGGAAGGGUGUGUAACGCUUCAAGUCUAGAAAGAUCCCAGAGCUCAAGUGAUCUGCAAUAAGGGUAAAGCUGGUCCAUAGGUGGGAGCUCUUCGAGCAUUCCACACCUCCUCAGCGCAAGUUCUUGAAUGUUGGAUGUUUGAUUUUCGGGCCAAGACGGCCACGACUGUCCUCGAUACCCGUCUAGAUGAAGGCC
rnacentral:lncRNA from 1 species